AUCUAGCUGACCACUCCCACAUAGGACGAAACGCGCGUCCUGGAU
rnacentral:hammerhead_ribozyme from 1 species